GACGAACGCUGGCGGCGUGCUUAACACAUGCAAGUCGAACGGAAAGGCCCUGCUUUUGUGGGGUGCUCGAGUGGCGAACGGGUGAGUAACACGUGAGUAACCUGCCCUUGACUUUGGGAUAACUUCAGGAAACUGGGGCUAAUACCGGAUAGGAGCUCCUGCUGCAUGGUGGGGGUUGGAAAGUUUCGGCGGUUGGGGAUGGACUCGCGGCCUAUCAGCUUGUUGGUGGGGUAGUGGCUUACCAAGGCUAUGACGGGUGGCCGGCCUGAGAGGGUGACCGGCCACAUUGGGACUGGGAUACGGCCCAGACUCCUACGGGAGGCAGCAGUGGGGAAUAUUGCACAAUGGGCGGAAGCCUGAUGCAGCAACGCCGCGUGCGGGAUGACGGCCUUCGGGUUGUAAACCGCUUUCGCCUGUGACGAAGCGUGAGUGACGGUAAUGGGUAAAGAAGCACCGGCUAACUACGUG
rnacentral:rRNA from 1 species